rnacentral:rRNA from 1 species
UACGUAGGGUGCGAGCGUUAAUCGGAAUUACUGGGCGUAAAGCGUGCGCAGGCGGUCUCGUAAGUCAGAUGUGAAAUCCCCGAGCUUAACUUGGGAACUGCAUCCGAAACUGUGAGACUAGAGUGUGUCAGAGGGAGGUAGAAUUCCACGUGUAGCAGUGAAAUGCGUAGAGAUGUGGAGGAAUACCAGUGGCGAAGGCGGCCUCCUGGGAUAAUACUGACGCUCAUGUACGAAAGAGUGGGGAGCAAACAGG